GGCAGUGUGGUGUAGUGGUUUGAGCGUUGGACUAGGGUUCUGGAGACCAGGUUUCGAAUGCUGGCUCAGCCU